rnacentral:rRNA from 1 species
AUCAACGUCUGGGCGGCGUGCCUCAGACAUGCAAGUCGAACGCGAAAGCCUCCUUCGGGGGGCAAGUAGAGUGGCGCACGGGUGAGUAACACGUAGGUAAUCUACCUUUGGAUUGGGAAUAACCACCGGAAACGGUGGCUAAUACCGAAUAAUGCAGCGGCACCUAAUGGUGACAGUUGUUAAAGCGGGGGAUCGCAAGACCUCGCGUCUGAAGAGGAGCCUGCGGCAGAUUAGCUAGUUGGUAAGGUAACGGCUUACCAAGGCGAUGAUCUGUAGCCGGCCUGAGAGGGCGGUCGGCCACACUGACACUGACAUACGGGUCAGACUCCUACGGGAGGCAGCAGUCGGGAAUUUUGGGCAAUGGGCGAAAGCCUGACCCAGCAACGCCGCGUGAAGGAUGAAAUCCCUCGGGAUGUAAACUUCGCAAGAACGGGAAGAAUAAGUAAGGGUUAAUAUCUCUUACGAUGACGGUACUGUUUGUAAGCUCCGGCUAACUCCGUGCCAGCAGCCGCGGUAAUACGGGGGGAGCAAGCGUUGUUCGGAUUUACUGGGCGUAAAGGGCGCGUAGGCGGCCACCGCAAGUCGACUGUGAAAUCUCCGGGCUUAACCCGGAAAGGUCAGCCGAUACUGCGGGGCUAGAGUGCAGAAGGGACAACUGGAAUUCUCGGUGUAGCGGUGAAAUGCGUAGAUAUCGAGAGGAACACCUGCGGCGAAGGCGGGUUGCUGGGCUGACACUGACGCUGAGGCGCGAAAGCUAGGGGAGCGAACGGGAUUAGAUACCCCGGUAGUCCUAGCCUUAAACGAUGAAUGCUUGGUGUCUGGGGUUUUAUAGUCCCCGGGUGCCGUCGCUAACGCUUUAAGCAUUCCGCCUGGGGAGUACGGUCGCAAGACUGAAACUCAAAGGAAUUGACGGGGACCCGCACAAGCGGUGGAGCAUGUGGUUCAAUUCGACGCAACGCGAAGAACCUUACCCAGGCUUGAACUGCGAGUGACCACGCCCGAAAGGGUGCUUCCGCAAGGACACUCGUAGAGGUGCUGCAUGGCUGUCGUCAGCUCGUGUCAUGAGAUGUUGGGUUAAGUCCCGCAACGAGCGCAACCCUUGUCCUCUGUUGCCAUCACGUUAUGGUGGGCACUCUGAGGAGACUGCCGGUGAUAAACCGGAGGAAGGUGGGGAUGACGUCAAGUCAGCAUGGCCUUUAUGUCUGGGGCUACACACGUGCUACAAUGGCCGGUACGAAGCGUCGCGAUCUCGCAAGAGGGAGCUAAUCGCAGAAAGCCGGUCUCAGUUCGGAUUGCAGGCUGCAACUCGCCUGCAUGAAGUCGGAAUCGCUAGUAAUCGCGGAUCAGCAUGCCGCGGUGAUACGCUCCCGGGCGUUGUACACAC